rnacentral:lncRNA from 1 species
AAAGAGAAAAGGGAUGCAGUGUGGAGGCAGCAGAUAACAACAUGAAAUGCUAAAUAGUCAACUGCUUAAGGGAUCAUUUCUCCCUUUCUGUGUUCCCCAAGAUGAAUAACAUCAGCAGCAAGGAAACAAGGCCCAAGCACAGAAACAGCACAUCUUUUUGUGCGGUAAGCAAGGAUUUACUGUUGUUUUAAGUCAGAGACAGACAGGUAUCCACUUCACCACAAAACUUUGAGUUAGCUAAGCCUCAUCAUUCCACUACAGUGCAG